rnacentral:rRNA from 1 species
UCCUACGGGAGGCAGCAGUGGGGAAUAUUGGACAAUGGGCGAAAGCCUGAUCCAGCCAUGCCGCGUGAGUGAUGAAGGCCCUAGGGUUGUAAAGCUCUUUCAACGGUGAAGAUAAUGACGGUAACCGUAGAAGAAGCCCCGGCUAACUUCGUGCCAGCAGCCGCGGUAAUAA